GUGCAGAGCACAAGAAUGGGAAAGGGACAAACUGACCAUGAUGAAUCCACUUCCACUGUGGCUGUUCAUGAUGGCAUUGAGUGGGGGUUCCACUACAGCAAACACGGGGUACCCAACUUGUUCUUCUAAGUCGCUCACACAAUCCCAAGGGAUGACCCCAACUUGUUUGCCAAGCCAAGGCAUUGCCACAUUUAAUGGAAAUGCCAGAGGUGCAGUUUGUGUCUUGCCCUUCCUGUAUACGGGCAAACGGUUCUCCCAGUGUACCACCAUGCACCAUAAAAGGCCAUGGUGUGCUACCACGAGCAACUACAGUACGACCAGGAUAAGAAAUGGGGAGAAUGUAUAGGGAUGACUUGCAAGCUCAACCUGACCUCCCUAGAACCUCGAAACGCAGUCCUUCUAGGCCCUGCUGUUGAUGAGACUUGUUCGCCCAAACAUAUCUAUCUCACAAACCAUACAAGCCCAGGCAUUCCCACACUUAAUGGAAAUGCCGGAGGUGCAGUUUGUGUCUUCCCCUUCCUGUACAAGGACGAACAGUACUCCAAGUGUACCACCACAGAACACAACAGGCCAUGGUGUGCUACCACGAGCAACCACGACCGGGAUAAGAAAUGGGGAGACUGUACAGGUGUUAAACGACAUCUUGCCUGUUGAUGAAUUUUGCUUUCCUAUUGGCAAGGUUUCCCAACUACUGACGUGCCCACCAUUAAUGGAAAUUCUAGAGGAGCGGCUUGUGUCUUUCCUUUCAUGUACCGGGGCAAGCUCUACUGGGAAUGUACUACCGUCCACCAUGGCAAGCCAUGGUGUUCAACCACAAGCAGCUUUGACCAGAAUGGGAUGUGGGGAGAAUGUAUGUCUGCUGCCCUCAAUCGGCCAUGUGGCAGUCAAUUCUUUUACUGUUUCAAUAAAAAAUGAAUGAG